rnacentral:rRNA from 1 species
CAGCCGCCGCGGUAACACGUAGGUGGCAAGCGUUGUCCGGAUUUAUUGGGCGUAAAGCGAGCGCAGGCGGUCAAUUAAGUCUGAUGUGAAAGCCCCCGGCUCAACCGGGGAGGGUCAUUGGAAACUGGUUGACUUGAGUGCAGAAGAGGAGAGUGGAAUUCCAUGUGUAGCGGUGAAAUGCGUAGAUAUAUGGAGGAACACCAGUGGCGAAGGCGAUUCUCUGGUCUGUAACUGACGCUGAGGCUCGAAAGCGUGGGUAGCAAACAGGAUUAGAUACCCCCGUAGUCCCUGUCUCUUAUAA